AUUGAACGCUGGCGGCAUGCCUUACACAUGCAAGUCGAACGGCAGCGCGGGGCAACCUGGCGGCGAGUGGCGAACGGGUGAGUAAUAUAUCGGAACAUACCCUAGAGUGGGGGAUAACGUAGCGAAAGUUACGCUAAUACCGCAUACGCACUAAGGUGGAAAGUGGGGGAUUCGCAAGAACCUCAUGCUCAUGGAGUGGCCGAUAUCUGAUUAGCUAGUUGGUGAGGUAAAGGCUCACCAAGGCAACGAUCAGUAGCUGGUUUGAGAGAACGACCAGCCACACUGGAACUGAGACACGGUCCAGACUCCUACGGGAGGCAGCAGUGGGGAAUUUUGGACAAUGGGGGCAACCCUGAUCCAGCAAUGCCGCGUGAGUGAAGAAGGCCUGGUGUAAG
rnacentral:rRNA from 1 species